AUUGAACGCUGGCGGCAGGCCUAACACAUGCAAGUCGAGCGCGCGGCGGACGGGUGUGUAUUGUAUGGGGACUGCCCCUUAGAGGGGGAUAACUACUGGAAACGGUUGCUAUUACCGCAUACUGUCUGAUAACCCACAUGGGAUUAGCUAUUGGGUAAGGUAAUGGCUUACCUAGGCGACGAUCCCUAGCUGGUCUGAGAGGAUGAUCAGCCACACUGGGACGGAGACACGGCCCAGACGCCUACGGAGGCAGCAGUGGGGAAUAUUGCACAAUGGGCGCAAGCCUGAUGCAGCCAUGCCGCGUGUAUGAAGAAGGCCCUAGGGUUGUAAAGUAUUUUCAGUCGGGAGGCGUUACCGACAGAAGAAGCACCGGCUAACUCCGUGCCAGCAGCCGCGGUAAUAC
rnacentral:rRNA from 1 species